GGAUGAGAGGGCAAGCUGUCCUGACAUGUCACCCACAGAUCCUCAGGUUUGCUCAGGUGAUCUGGCUGGCUGGCUGGCAGCCCCAUCCCUCAUGGCCUCUGCUGCUCUCUCUCAAAGUUGUACAUAUAUUGGAAUACAAUGAUACUUCCAGGAAGCGGAGAGCCAUUCUUUUGUCAAGAAUUUACUAGUAGCUGACUAGAAUAUUUCAUUUAACCUCAAGAAAUUACAACAAUGCAUGUUACACCAUACACAAAAAUUAACUCAAAAUAGAUCACAGACCUA
rnacentral:snRNA from 1 species